GCGAAGGUGGCGGAAUUGGUAGACGCGCCAGACUAAGGAUCUGGUGUCUCACGACGUGGGGGUUCAAGUCCCCCCCUUCGCA
rnacentral:tRNA from 2 species